GCACAUGCACCGGAGAAAAAAAAAAAAAAAAAAAAAAAAAAAAAAA
rnacentral:ribozyme from 13 species